ACCCUCCCCACCCCUCUCAUUCCCCACCCCAACAUCUCAAUCCCUCCCAACUUUUAACAUAAAAAACCUCCCAAUUCUAAAUCUUUUUUUCAGAAGAAAAUGGGUUUGAAUUCUAGUCAGUGGCUUAUGAAGCUGUUUGUUGUGACCACCUUGUUCCAAGUGUCAUUUGGUUCCAGCAGGUUGUUCCAAGUCUCAUUGGCAACGAGGAAGCUGAGCGAGCUUGUCCAAGAUCAAACCCAGCUCCUCAAAUACCACAACGGCCCUCUCCUCUCCGGCAAAAUUACCAUCAACCUCAUCUGGUACGGUAACUUCAAGCCCUCCCAGAAAGCCAUUGUUUCCGAUUUCAUCUCCUCUUUGUCCUCCUCCUCCCCUUCCAAAACCCCGCAACCCUCCGUCGCCGCCUGGUGGCAGACCACCGAGAAAUACUACCACCUCACCUCCAACAAAAAGUCCUCCAACUCCCUCUCCCUCUCUCUGGGGAGACAGAUUCUCGACCAAAGCUACUCCCUCGGCAAAUCCCUCACCACCAAACAGAUUGUCGCAUUGGCCGCAAAGGGCGACCAGAAAAACGCCAUCAAUGUUGUCCUGACAUCUGCCGACGUGGCUCUUUCAAAACCGGACACACCAAGGGCAGCAAGAACUCCAAGUUCGCUUACAUUUGGGUUGGAAACUCGGAAACCCAAUGCCCGGGGCAGUGCGCGUGGCCAUUCCACCAGCCCAUCUAUGGGCCCCAGAGCCCACCCCUUGUAGCCCCCAACAACGACGUGGGCCUCGACGGCAUGGUCAUCAAUCUGGCUAGCCUUAUGGCCGGGACAGCCACCAACCCAUUCGGAAAUGGAUACUUCCAGGGUCUGGCCGAGGCACCAUUAGAAGCUUCCUCGGCCUGCCCUGGGAUUUACGGGAAAGGAGCUUAUCCUGGUUAUGCCGGGGACCUGCUGCAGGACCCAACCACGGGCGCCAGCUACAAUGCCAAUGGUGCUAAUGGAAGGAAGUACUUGCUUCCUGCACUAUAUAAUCCUGCAACUUCAUCUUGUUCCACUUUGGUUUAGUGGCUAGAUUAAUUAGUACUAAUUAAUGUAUACGCAGCCUAUGUAGGUGUUACAUAAAUUCAUUGAUUCAAUUUAUUUUUGGUUAUGAGGGUUAUAUAUUAAAGACAGUAAAUUAUUUCGGUUUGCAUUCA